AUGAGCAAACUCUCUAUAAGCUUAAUCAGUUUUACAAAACAAAGAAGCAAGAAAGGUUGGGCUAAAGAUGGAGACCGCAAUACUAAAUUUUUUCAUCAAGCUGUGGUCAAGCGUAGAAAGAGGAAUACUAUUUGUUCUGUUAAGGAUGAAAAGGACAUGAUGCAAUUUAAGCCCACUGCUAUCACUAACACUUUUGUUAGCUAUUUCCGAUAUAUAUUUUCUUCUCCCAACAAUAAUUCUGAGAGACCUUACCCUCAUUCUCAUUGGCCUAAUGAUUCCCUAGAUCCUACUUAUGCUCUUCCAGAUAAACAGGAGGUAUUGCAGAUUCUCAAGGAGAUGAAAUUAAAUGCUUCUCCAGGGCCGGAUGGGUUCAAUGUGGAGUUUUAUUUGGUAGCUUGGGACUGGAUAUUUUAUAAUACUGGUAUUUUGCCUCCUCAUAUUAAUGACACAAAUAUUGCACUUAUUCCAAAAAAACUUGAGCCUCAUGUUCCCAUGGAUUACCGGCCUAUUAGUCUUUGUAAUGUUGUGUAUAAGAUCAUUGCGAAGUCUCUUGCUAAUAGGAUUAAAUUGCAUUUGCCUGAUUAUAUUGAUCCUGCUCAGCAAGCUUUUAUUGAGGGUAGAUGCAUUAGUGAUAAUAUCAUCAUUGCCCAAGAAAUCACACACUCUUUCUCUCUUAAAUCUUGGAAUCAUAAUGCCUUUAUGCUUAAAAUUGAUUUGGCCAAAGCUUUCGAUCGUUUGGAAUGGAAUUUUAUAGUGGCUGCUCUUACACGUAAAGGGUUGCAUGGUCAUUUCAUUAACUUGGUGCAUGCUUGUAUUUCUUCUCCCAUGUUCUCGGUCUUGAUUAAUGGUCAGCCCUCGCGUAAAUUUAGAAGCUUCAGAGGUAUCCGUCAGGGCUGUCCCAUGUCACCUUAUUUGUUUGUCAUCGCUAUCAAUGAAUUGUCUCUUGCUCUUAAUGAGGCUCUGGCUGCUCACCAUUUGCAGGGAAUUUCUCUUGGACCAAACUGCCCUCCUAUUCACUCUUUGUUGUUUGCAGAUGAUUUGUUGGUUUGUGGGCAGGCAAGUCUUCAAGAGGCUCAUUCUAUGGCUCAAAUCAUUAACCAUUUUUGUGCCUUCUCAGGACAAACUCCAAACUGGGCUAAAUCAGCAAUUCUUUUCAGCUCUCACAUUCCUCAAACUAUAAUUCAUGCUAUUAAGAAGAUUUUCCCGGUUUCUAACUUGGAUAGCAGUUUUGUUCAUCUUGGUCAUCCUCUUGUGCUUCCAGCUAAGAAUAGAGCUUCGGCUUACAACUUUGUCAUUGAAAAAUUUCUGAAUAAGCUACCUACUUAUAAAGCUAACAUGCUUUCCCAUGAUGCCAGAUUAGAAUUGAUUCGUUCGGUGUUCUUGGCUAUACCUGUUUAUUAUAUGGCUAACAUCUUGUUUACCAAGAAGUUCAUAGCUAAACUUACUGCAAUCAUUAGGAAUUUCUGGUGGACAGGUGUUCGAGAAAGUGAUUCCAAAAAGAGCCUUUGCCUCCGAGCUUGGAAGGAUAUUUGUAACUCUAAGGAAGAGGGAGGAUUAGGAAUAAGGAACUUGAAGGCUAUCAAUGAAGGUCUCCUUCUCACAGCUGCUUGGAGAUUAGCUAAGUCUCCUUCUUCUCACUUGCAUCUUGUUCUUAAGGCUAAAUACUUUCAUAAUGCCUCCAUAUGGACAGCCUCUGCUAAUUCUGCUAAGUCGGCUUUUUGGGCUUCUAUUCUUAAAAUUCUACCGAAACUCAAAGCCCAUUCUUUUUAUCAAUUAUCUCAAGGCAAUAUCUCAAUUUGGAGCACUCCUUGGUGCUCUCUUUGGAGAUCAGUUCAUGAUUGUCUUAUUCAUCAACGACAUGGUUUUCAAUAUCCAUCUUUAGUUAAAGAUCUUUGGCUUCCGGACCAAAAAACUUGGAAUCAUGACUUGGUUUGCUCUCUUUUUCAAGAACCUUUGGCCUCUCUUAUUGUGCAAACAGAUAUUAUUGAUGAUGAUAGUAUGGAUACGCUUUGUUGGGAUCUCACUCAUAAUGGUAUUUGUUCUUCAAAAUCUGCCUACAAACUUUGUUUGCAGGAAAUUCAGGCCAUUCCCCGAAAUGCACCUUCUGUUGUUCCUUUGGAUUUCUCAAAUCUUCUUAAACUCAUUUGGAAACAAAAGGAUAUGCUCCCAAAAGUUAAAACUUUUGUGUGGAGACUACUUAGGAGGGAUCUUCCUACAGGGUUGAGGGCUGGUAGAUUUUCCUUUCAUAUUUCAAAAACUUGUUGCCGAUCUGGUCAACAAGAGGAUGAGGUCCAUCUGUUUUUCAUGUGA
rnacentral:rRNA from 1 species